AACGCACCUUGCACCCUUUGGUAUUCCGAAGGGUAUGCCUGUUUGAGUGUCAUUAAUAUUCUCAACCAUUGGCUUGGGUUCAUUCCCUUGCUGAUCGUGUUGGAUUUGAGGGUGUUGUGUCGGUCCACUUCAUUUUUUUGAAGACGGUCGACUCCCUUUAAAAGCAUUUGUGGGUCUGACCUUUGUGGAUAUGCCUCGAUUUGAUAAUUAUCAAGAUGUCGUCGCAGUGAAGCAAAAGACUUGCUAUCUAACUGUCCCUGACAAGGACUGCUUGAAUUUUCAAGCAAUAAGAGUCGCUGCUUUCGGGCUUGACUUGUAAAAUAUUUGACCUCAAAUCAGGUAGGACUACCCGCUGAACUUAA
rnacentral:misc_RNA from 1 species